rnacentral:tRNA from 1 species
AACCAAAAUGUAGCUCAAUAGAAAAGCACCUCCCUUACACCGAGGGGACAUCUGUGCAAAUCAGAUCAUUUU